rnacentral:lncRNA from 1 species
AUAUAUUGUUGCUAGCUAAAAGAAACAAAAUUACUUGAUUUCAAACUCGCUGGUUAUGAUAUCAAACAAAGGUUGAGAGUCUACAGGUGAUAAAGGAAAAGAAAGAUUCGUUUAAUUUCAUUGCCGAAACUUGUUGCAGAAAGAGAUUUUGGAAUCAUUGAAAGAUGUACGGAGUGGACUGCUUCAACGGCCCAUAGCUAUGCUGACACUAGACGACUUCUUUAUUACCGACAGUGGAAUGGACGCUCUUAUAGUUGUAGCGGCACUCGUAGCAACAGUAACAUUUGCAGCUGCUUUCACCAUGCCUGGCGGUUACAAGAACGAAAAAGGCACUCCAGUUCUUCUUAAAAAUACUGCUUUUGCAGUCUUUGUUAUAUCAGAUGCAGUAGCAAUGGUUCUCUCAACUUCUGCUCUCUUCAUGCACUUUUCUAGGGCACUGCUUGGAAAAAGAGGUCAAGUGGAAGACGAUAUAAAAGAAACCUUCUCUUAUAGGACAUCUACUUUAACCAUAUGUGCCAUCCCAGCAAUGGUCAUCGCAUUCAUCACAGGAAGUUAUGCAGUGCUAGCUCCAUCAUUAUGGCUUGCAAUCACGACUUGUUUCAUUGGUGUAGCCUUCUUCUUCUUUGCGUGCCAGGCAUUCAUAGUUCAAUUCCGCACCCUCAUAAAAUACUGAAAAUAAACACUUCACAGCAGACUUUAAAAGAGUCUGAUAUUGAAGAAGAUUAUUGAUUCUCAUUUAGCUCGUGUUAUAAACUAUUAUAGCAUGUAAUUAUAUAGGAAAUAUUGUAGUCAUAUUCUUAUGUGGUAAUCUCCACCUUUACUAUUGUAUAUUGCCCUACUCAUAUAUAUAGAAAGGGUUGGCUAACCUAUUAGGUUAAGCCUCCUAAUCAUUCUCAACUUGGUAUCAGAGCCUCCUAAUAUUUUCUCUCUUUGCAGCCGGCCCUAAUUUUCUUCCCCAUGGACUCUCCUCCUGCUGCCGUUGAUCCAAUCUCCCCCUCCACCGGUGAUGCAUCAUCACCGGCCAGCCCUCUUCCUGCUGCUGGCUCUGCCGUUCCUCUGCCUCUUAUGGGAACACAAUCUACAAUGGUUCCUCUAUCAAACACCCACCAUGUUGUGUCGUUGAAACUUACGAACACAAAUUAUCUUUAUUGGAGAAUGCAGAUGAAGCCAUAUCUCCUUGGUCAAGGUGUUUUUCAGUUUGUUGACGGCUCCUUGCCGUGUCCUCCAUCUCAUAUGAUUGAUGCUUCGGCUGAUUCUUCUUCUGCCAUCAGCCCCUCUUUUCUUCGUUGGAAGCAACAAGAUCAACUUAUUUUGAGUGCUCUACUCUCCUCUCUUUCCGUGGAUGUGCUGCAUCUUGUAGUCGAUUGUUCUACUUCACAUUGUGUUUGGCGCACGCUUGAGAAGGCACUUGCCUCUCCAUCUAAUUCGGAUCAUGCAACUACAUGGCUCCUUUCAAGACCUUCGGCAAGGUGAUGCAUCGGUUAGUAUGUAUAUGCAGCAAGCCAAAUCGUUAUUUGACGAAUUGGCUGCUGCUGGUCGCCCAAUGUCCCUUGAAGAUUUCAAUCUCUAUGUGUUUCGUGGACUUCGCGGUGAGUUCAAAGACUUGGUAACUAGUCUCAUAACCAAGGCUGAACCGCUAUCGUAUGCUGAUCUUCAUAGCCAUCUCCUUACCCAUGAGUUUUUGCACAAAAACUCCUUUCACUCCAUGGCUGUCGGUUCAUCCUCUUCAUCACUGCUGUCUUCUUCUUCUCUGCCGCAGCAGCCACCAUUGCUGCCAACACCUCCGAAUUCUGCUUAUUAUGCCAUGACUAAUCACAGCCGAAACAGGGGACGUUCUAGAGGUAAUUGGCGCUCAAACACCAACCGAUUUCAGGCCCCAAACAGAGGUCACUCCGCUGCAGAUUGGAGGCAAAAUCAGUGGCAGAACAGGCGCACCUCUGCUGCAGAUUUUCGGCCAAAUCAGGGGCAGUGGUCUGGACAUGUGCGCUGCCAAUUAUGUUCCACUCCUGGCCAUUCAGCUCUUCAAUGCUAUCAGUUUCGCAGCAGCACACAGCAGCCCUCUGCUCACCUUGCUGUUGCGAAUGAUUCUGCUGCAACGACUUGGUUUCCCGACACCGGCGCGAAUCAACAUGUGACGCCUGAUCUUGCAACUCUAACUGAUUCUGCUCCUUAUCUUGGUAAUGAUUUCUUGCAUGUUGGUGAUGGUAAGGCCCUUGACAUAUCCCAUGUUGGACAUACUACUUUAUAUUCCCCCAAACGCUUGUUUACAUUAACUAAUGUUCUUCGUGUGCCUCACAUUACCAAACCGUUGUUAUCUGUUCAGAAAUUCUGUCGUGAUAAUCAUGUUUAUUUUGAAUUUCACGAUUCUGUGUUUUAUGUGAAGGAUCUCGUCACCAAGGAAGUUCUUCUUUCCGGUCGGAGUCAUGAUGGUCUUUAUGUUCUCUCCGAGUCCUCGGCUACGUCAGUUCCUCAAGCUUUUUGGUCUCCUUGCAUUUCCGCGACUGCCGACUUGUGGCAUCGUCGUUUAGGUCAUCCAACUCCUCGCAUUCUAAAUUUGUUAGUUUCUGAUAAUAAAAUUAUUUGUACGUCUAAACGAUCUUUUACUCAAUGUCAAGCAUGUCCAUUAGGCAAGUCAUCCCGUUUGUCAUUACGACCGACGGGUCACAAAACUUCUACCCCACUUGAAUUAAUUUUUAGUGAUGUUUGGGGCCCUGCUCCAAUGUUUUCUUCUGAUGGUUUUCGUUAUUUUGUUAUCUUUGUUGAUGCGCACACUAAAUAUAUCUGGUAUUAUCCGCUUGUUGCGAAAUCUGAUGUAUUUUCCACGUUUCAACGUUUUCAGACACUUGUUGAGCGUCAGUUUUCUCUUAAAAUUAAAUCUGUUCAAACUGAUUGGGGUGGUGAAUAUCGUAAAUUAAAUACAUUUUUUCAAACAAUUGGUAUUCAUCAUCGAUUAAUUUGUCCUCAUACUCAUGAACAAAAUGGCACAGUUGAACGUCGUCAUAGACAUAUUGUCGAAACUGGCCUAACCCUCUUAGGCCAGUGUAAUGCCCCAUUGCGUUUUUGGAACUAUGCUAUGGAAUCAUCGGUCUAUCUUAUUAAUCGCAUGCCUACUCCUGUUCUUCAAAAUAAAUCUCCUUUUGCGUGUCUGUUUCAUCGCACUCCUGAUUAUAAUUUCUACGCACUUUUGGGUGUCUUUGUUUUCCAUUUUUACGUCCAUAUCAUGCUCAUAAAUUAGAUUUUCGGUCUUCUCCUUGUGUGUUUUUAGGCUAUAGCUCGUCUCAUCUUGGUUAUCGGUGUCUUGAUUUAGAGUCUGGUCGUGUCUAUGUCUCCCGUCAUGUUCGUUUUCAUGAAUGUGUCUUUCCUUUUAAAAAGUCUGAACAGGUAACAACACCCCCGGUUCCCCCCACUCCACCUACCUAUCUUCCAUCACUGCAACCCCCUUCCUGUUUUCAGCCUCUUCCUUCCCAACUCGGCAAAACACACCCUUUGCCCCUUGCCGCAACCCCCCAGCUUGCUCCCCUGCCCGUUGAUUUAGCCGACCCUGCCUCACCACCCCACACAGCCAUACUAUCACCACGUGCUUGUCUUUCCAAUGAUUAUUGUGCAGGAACAGGUUCUGACUUGCAGGAUUCAGUAGCGGCACAACCCAGCACCUCCCCGGCUUCACCUCCUGGUCUGCAACUUUGUGUUGAUCUCUCCUCUUAUCCUCUUCAGCACAUUCCAGGUACAGGUGCUGCUACUCCAUGUCCAGCUGCUCCUAAACACCCCAUGGUUCUUCGUCCGAGACAGCCCAAGACAGCGCUGAUCACCACCACGGCAGCCACCUCUGCUGCUUCCUUCAGUCGGGUAACUUCUCCUCCCUCGCAUGAGCCACUUAUUUUUCCUGAUGCUAACAGAUAUGAGGCGUGGCAUAAUGCUAUGCGAGAGGAAAUUCAGGCCUUACGCGCAAACAGAACAUGGACUUUAGUGCCAUUUCAUCCGUCCAUGAAUGUUGUUGGUAGCCGAUGGGUCUACAAAAUUAAACGCAGAUCUGAUGGUAGCAUUGAGAGGUAUAAGGCGCGCCUGGUUGCUAGGGGCUUCACUCAGCAAGAAGGUAUUGAUUACUCAGAAACUUUUAGUCCUGUUAUCAAACAGGCAACAGUCCGCUUAGUGUUCUCCAUUGCAGUUUCGAGUGGUUGGAAAAUUCAUCAGCUUGACAUUCAUAAUGCAUUUCUAAAUGGAGUCCUUGAUGAAGAGGUUUACAUGAAACAACCUCCAGGUUUUGUUGAUUCUGCACUCCCAGGUCAUGUAUGUCGAUUGCAUAAAUCUCUAUAUGGGUUAAAACAGGCUCCGCGGGCUUGGUACACUCGUCUGAAUGAUUUUCUAUUAUCCAUUGGUUUCCGUGCUUCUAAAGUGGAUACCUCAUUGUUUAUCUUCUCGGUUGGUAGUGAUAUUUGUUAUCUUUUGGUUUAUGUUGAUGAUAUUCUGCUUACGGGUAAUAAUGGAACUCUGCUACAACGACUCAUUCAGCUACUGAGCUCAGAAUUUAAACUUCGGGAUUUGGGUGAUGUUCAUUAUUUCUUGGGUAUUGAAGUGCAGUGUACUGGUCUGGGACUUAUGCUUUGUCAACAUAAAUAUACACUUGAUAUCCUCACACGAGCUGGUAUGUUAUCCUGUAAACCAGUUGAUACUCCUAUUUCGGCAUCCAAAGCCACCAUUAUGCCAUCCAUUGUUUUCUGAUGCUACUCGUUUUCGGCAACUUGUUGGUGCUCUCCAAUAUCUCACUUUCACACGCCCGGAUAUUUGCUUUGCUGUUAACCGGGUCUGUCAAUUUAUGCAUGCUCCUACAGAAUCCCAUUGGGCUGCCGUGAAACGCAUCUUGCGUUAUCUCCGUGGUACGGCAUCACAUGGUUUACAUAUUACUCGCAGCUCUUCCUUUGCUUUACACGGUUUUACAGAUGCAGAUUCGGCAGGUAGUAUUGAGGAUAGAAAGUCUACAGGUGGUUAUCUUGUGUUCUUUGGUCAGACGCCAAUUUCUGGAAAUCGAGUAAGCAACGCACUGUUGCUCGUUCUUCGACGGAAGCUGAGUACCGAUGGCACGGCUGAAGUUAUCUGGCUUCAGUACUUGUUAACGGAUCUUCAGAUUCCGGCUCCUUCUGCUCCUAUUAUCUGGUGUGACAACCUUGGUGCCACGUAUUUGUCCGCAAACCCUAUAUUUCAUGCUCGCACAAAACAUAUUGAGAUUGAUUAUCAUUUUGUCCGAGAUAGAGUUGCGAAGAAGGAGAUUCAGAUUCGUUUUAUUUCCUCUCAGGAUCAACUUGCCGAUGUCUUCACUAAGCCACUUCCUGCUGCUUCAUUUACUGCUUUUAGAUUCAAGCUUCGGGUUGAUCCUCCACCCUCAGCUUGAGGGGGCGUAUUAUAGCAUGUAAUUAUAUAGGAAAUAUUGUAGUCAUAUUCUUAUGUGGUAAUCUCCACCUUUACUAUUGUAUAUUGCCCUACUCAUAUAUAUAGAAAGGGUUGGCUAACCUAUUAGGUUAAGCCUCCUAAUCAUUCUCAACUUAAACUAUCUUCUCGUCAUCUUCUUGAUGGCAUCAGCUGUAACGUUGGCUUUAUUUAUCAAUAUAUUUUACCUUGCUUUUCACGAGUACAAUGAUCGAAAAAUUCAAUUUUGGCACUUGGAAAAUGCUAACACCUUCAAUAUAGAGACCAUAGAAUGAAGGCUAACAAGUUCACCAUUGAUUCUAGAUGAAUGGAAUUAGCCAUAAUUUUCGAAGGACUUGAAUUUCUAAUAUAUAUAUAUUGAUUAGAAUUUCCAUUAAUUGCUGAAUGGUAAUUCAGACUUCAAUUUCUACACAUUGCAACUUCAUUCACCUUCCCAACUUUUUGUUUAACAGAAAUCAUUCUCAUGAAAUGCAAAACAUUCUUUUACGAGAACAAAAAUAAAUAAAUAAAGUAACAAAGGAAAAUUUUACGACAGGCACAAGAAAACCAUAAUAAAAAAAGGAGGAAAAUGGGUAUAUAAAACAGCAGAACAUAAACAUUUUGAGAAAUUAAUGAAUUAAUGAUGUAGUGCUAUGAUUUAACUCCGAUCUAGUGGGUUAUGAAGGACAUGAAGCUGAUGACAACACCCAAUGUCUGAGUUUUUCAGACCCUAAUUCCACUGACAAGGUGUAAAGAGUAGUUAAAACUCAAUUUGAACAACGGAGACAAAAAAAUAAAAAUCAAUUUAUGUUUAUAUUUAGUGUGUUUUAAGACUAAAUAAUUUGUUUUAUUUUGCAUUUGGUUAACAUUAGUCAAGACACAAGUAAAAAAUAAUUAGUGGAAGAAUUAAUCUAAUUUGAACCCGAUCAAAAAUUCAAGUUGACCUACUAUAAAGUUUACCUGAGAUAAAACACAAAUAAAAAAUUUUAAUUUGUUUUUUAUUAAGAUAAAACAAGUAAUCAAAAUCUUGUCUUAUUUAUAUUGAGUUUUAAACAAUUAAAAUAAUUAUAUUUAUUUUUAUAUUCACUCAGAUUAACAAUGAACAUAAUGUAUGAAUCAAACCUUAUAUCGAAAUCGACUAUUAUUUAAAUUUUUAAAUUAUAAUAAUUAUUAUUUUUAUUUUUAUAUUAAUAUAGAUCAACCCGGUAAAUUCUUAUGCAAAAAAUUUAACAAUCUAGCUUAUUCUACUCCUUUUAAUAAACAAAUAUUUCUUCACUGGAAUGGCCUUGAUAGAACAAAAAAUAAAUACUCCAAAAAACUUCACAAAAAGAUUAUACCGUCCAAUCCAUUUUUACAGCAUAUCAAAAACACUACAUAAAUUUCAAAAUCAAAUUACCUCAGUUAAAUCCAUUAAUAUCAUCGUAAUGUAGCUUCCACCAAGUAGGUUCUCCUUGAUCAUGGUUAUUAUCAUCAUCCUGUGCAUUCCUCCAUCUUUAACCACCAGACAGGAGCAGUUUUCAGUGAUGAAAACCCUCAUGGUUGUUCUAUAAUGUGAACAACGUAGUAUAAUUAUUCUUACUAUAUAUGUACUUAUACUGCUUUGUUUUUCGUGUACUAAUUUCCUUUUCACUUUAUGUUUUGUUAAACCUUGUUCACAUGAAGCUAUAAAAUAUAGACAAGAAAUGCCUUUUUUUCCUUAUCAUUUUGCAACUUAUAAAUUGUUUUAUUCUGAUUUGUGCCCUAGGCAUGGUAUUGUCUGCUGAGAAAACCAAGCUCCAUUGAUCUUUUCUUUUUACUAAAUUAAAUCGCCACCGAUUGCAAUUAAAAUUCUGAUCUACAUUAAUAUCAUUCGGAUAGGAUUAGGAUGUACUCCACCACAAACUCUAAUAAAUCUUUUCCAAAGAAGAGAUGCCUUGGAAUGUUUUAGAAAGGGGAUAAUAUUCUCAUAUGCACCCCUAACUUAUUCGUUAUUACCCUUUCUGAGUUGUGUCCCUAAACUACAUAAUUAAGCAAUUAGGUCCAGAAUGUAUCUAGGAAUUAUCAAUUUAAUCUUUGUAAAGGGAUUGUGAUAGGUAUUUAUGGGCUAGGUUUUGGUAUUAUCUAUAUUUGAAUUCAAACCCAAAAUAUUAUAAGUCAAAAUUUGACGGGUGUAAAUUUUGAAUACCAAAAUCUAAUUCAUUAAGGUUUUAGUUAUCGAUUUAGAUAAUUAUUAUCUAAUUGAUACAGUAAGGUUUGUGAAAACUUGAAGUUUUGAUAUGUAUAUAAGAAUCUAUCACAAGCACACUAUUUGGAUAACUUAACAUAUAUUUUUAUAAAUUGGUACUGAGAUAGCACUAGGUUUAAGAAGAUGCAUGGCCAUGCUAUACUACAGUACGUAGUGGCUUUAAACCGAAAUAAUAAGAGAUAAUUUGAUGGUUGGUUGAGAUUAAUUUUUUUUUAAAAGAUUCUACAAGUUUUUUUUUUGUGGAAAGCCAUUAUGUCAUUCAUUGGACUAUUAGAUCUUCAAAAAUUAGUCCUAAAAGUUGCUACUUAGACUAAUUUUGUUGUUUUUUUCUAGAUUGUUUUGGAUUUAUUAUUUUAUUUAAGAUUUUAUGUUAGUUUUCUUUAUGAUUUUGAAUUCUAAAUUCUUUUUAUAGAGAUAGGGUUUUCUAGUUUAUUUAAACAUCUUGUAAACAUUUUAAAAAAAACUUAAUAUAUACUUAAUUUUUAGAGAAUAUAACCGUAUUUCAAAUUCAAAUCUACAAUUUAUUUUCUUAUAAAAAUUCUAUUAUCAAAAUCUUGAAGUGGUGGGGGUAAUGACUGCCUCAUAGUAUACAUCAUAAGUGGAUCAGAAAGGGACUCAGACAAGUGUUUUUUUUUUAAUCAAAAUUGAUGUCUUUUUCGGUUUCACUUGCAAACGGAACACCUAUCUCCAAAACCCAUGUUUGCAAAAAUGUAUGCUAUGCGUCAAAAGAUGAAAUCUAUGUGCGAUAGGAUUAGCAAUUUACCUGAUGCACUCCUCCUUCACACACACUCUUUUCUGAGAUGCCAAGGAGUUUUGAUUGGAUACAUUGUUCACUCUUUAUUUCAAAUCAAUUCAAUUUUUCUAAUUUCUAUUUUAGUUUUCUUUAUUUUUAUCCAAUAAACUUUAUUUCUAUUAGAAAAUAUUUGUUUUUCAAAUUAAAAAAAUUAACAUUAAAAGAAAAUUUUAACUAAAAAUAUAUUUUUUUCCCGAGAAUUCAAAUAACUAUCUUUAUUAAUGAAUAUUCAUUUUUAUUUUUAUAUAAUUAAAUAAAAAACAAAAAGCAACCAUGUUAUUAGAUUAAAUAUUUGCAUUUGCAUUUUUUUUAUUUUUUACAAAAAAAAAAAACCCAACUAUUUUAGCCUUUAAUUAGAUUAACCAUUUGAUUUAUUAAUUCAAAUAUUUUUAAUUCGUUUUUUUUUUUUGAAAAUACAAACACCAUCAUUUCAAUUUUGAAUUUAAAAAUUUUAUGCUAUCAAAACACAACUCCACAGAUUCAUGGCUUCUAGUUUUUUUUGUUUUACAUUACAACUUAGUUUGGAAUGUUACCCGUAACUAGUUGGUAUCUAAUGUCUUUAACUGUUUCCCCAUGAAUUUGUAUCUCAAGAGCAGUCUGGUUUGUCAUGUACAUGCACUUCAUGGAAAAUGCUAGCUAGCUGGCACAGGAGCCGAAGAAGAACGAAACUUGGCAUAUUCAUCUUUCAAAAAAAAAAAAAACUUGGCAUAUUAAUUCCACUUUUCAGAAUAAGCUGUGCUUAAGAUUUGUUCUUUAAAAUAUCUUUUAUUUAAAAAUAUAUUAAAAUAAUUUAUUUUUUAUUUUUAAAAUUUUAUUUUUAAUAUAUGAUUUAAAAUCAUAAAAAAUAUUAGAAAAAUUCAAUAAUACUUUUAAAUAUAAAAACAAACACUUUAGAAGUACAAUUUUGAUUAAUAAACAAACCAUCAAAGCAAAUUGUACUUGGAAAAUAAAUUUAUCUGUCCCUAAAUUUUAGUCAUGAAUAGGAAAAUGAAAAUAAAUAAAUAAUGUCAGAGUUUUUAACCACUUCACUUGUGAUGCACAAUUGCACAUUCAUUACAAUAAUAAAUAAAAAAUUGACAAUUGAUUUGGCAACCAACCACAUGAUUUUUAAACAUAUGACGUCACCAAUUUUUUUCAAAAUCAAUAAGAAUGUUUUAAAAAAUACAUCUGAAUUUGAUUUGAUAGAAAAUUUAGAAUUUAUUGUUUCACUAUGACAUCACGUCUUUUACAUUCUUUAAAAUGAACCUGAACACUAAAUACACAAGGAAGAAGAAGCUCAGACCAAUUAGACAAGUGCUCAUGACAAGCCUUAAUGAAGAUUCUAGAACUGCAUAUGUGCCUCUAACGAAUGCAAUAAUCAUUGUACCCAUGCCAAUCAUGGUCGACAACGUGGCAAACAAAAAUAAUUUCCUAGUGGUAUACUUAUUUAUCACUUUAUACUUAUCCACUUCAAGACCAUGAAUCAGCGAAAUCAAAAAGUGGAUAAAGACAACAAAAAUGGAGAGCAUCAUUGACAUUGCAUCUGAGAUGACAAAUACUAUAAAAACAGUUUUUUUAGCUAGAAUAGCAGUGCCUCGGUCACUCUUGUAACCGCCAGGUAGGGUGAAUGCUGCUGCAAAUGUUACGGUUGCUAUCAGCGCCGCAACAACUAGAUGAGACUCUCUUGCUUUACUCAAAGCUUCCUCUUGCUCUUUGUUUUUCUCUUCCUCUUUCUCUUCCAAAACAAAGGGACAGUAAUCAAUCAGUCCACUGCAAACAUCUUUAAGGGAUUCUAGGAUCUCUUUCUGUAAAAAUAUAUAUUUUGAGUAAAAUAUGUUAAGAUAUUAAAAGAGGUUUUAAAAGUAAUUCUUUAUUACUUUCUAGAUUAUUUUUUUAAGUGAAUUUUUGUAAAAAAAAAAAUUCAUAUUAUCUUGCAUUUAAAUUUUAUUAAUUACAAUAGAAAUAGUGAGAUUUGAAUUUAUAAUUGUUUGAUCAAUAAGAUUGUAAUACUAUUUUAAAAAAACUAUCUCAAUCUAAGAAUAUAAACAAAUAAUCCAUCAUUUUUAGCUAUUUAACAUAUAUCAUAUAUCAACUUCCGAGCCUUUGUUUUUGUUUCCACAACUAGUUUGUUUGCAAUCAAAUCCUUUGUGUUACAAAAACUAAUUUGGUUGAAAUUAAACCGCAUGCUUUCCAUUAGUCCAAUUAUCCCCAAAAAGAAAACUAAGAUGUGUGUGUUUGGGGAUGCAUUAAUUAUCACAACAGUUAAUUCAUAGAGGAUUGAUUACUCGUAUCUCUGCAAAAUUUCCGAAAUAUAUGUCGUCGACCCUUAGCUUUCGCUUAUUGAGACCAAUUAGAUGGAAGGGCGUGUUUCCUUUGUCAUCCUUCUUCGUUCCAAGUCUUGCAAGUAAUGGAAUAUUCUCCAGACAUUCCUCGAAUACUGCUAUAUCUUUACUUCCAGAGCAUAGUGAAGGGCAUUCCAGCCUCUGUUAUCAACUAGCUCACAACAAGCUGGACAUCCAGAAACAAUCUCUUCCAUUACGUUUACGUGUCCUCGAAUGGCUGCAAUGUGAAGAGCUGUUCUCUUCUUCUCUGUUUCAGCAAUGUAGGCCGCGGACGCAUCAUAUUCUAGUAAUACUUCCACUAUACGAUUAGGCAAUAUUAAAUAAUAGGCAGCGUAGUGAAGUGGUGACCAGCCGUUCUCAUCGGUUGUUUUCGUCAACGUUUUUUCUUUUUCUAACAAUUUUCUUGCUGUCCCUGAAACCAACAAAACAAGCAAUAAAAGUUAUCCUUCAUGAACAACAGUGAUUUCACUUAUGCCCCGUUUUAUAAUUUCUUUUAGAAAAGUGGUUUCUUGCAAAAUAUUUUUCUAAAAAAUAAAUUAUUUUUCAAUGUUUUGUAGCAUCAUGAAAAAUAAAUUAAAAAAUAUUUUUCAGUAUUUGGCUAUAUCAUUAAAAAUACGCUAGAAAAAAAAUGGUUAAUAUUUUUUUUUCAAGUUUAAUAAAAUAAUGAGAAGCAAAUUUUAUAAAUUAAAAAGUUGAAUGAGAAUAAAAUUUAAAAAUAUAUAUAAUUUCAUAAAUAAUCUCAAAUAAAAUAAAUAACAAUCAAGAUAAUAAAGAUCAAAUCUAAAUAAUAAAAAAAUAGAAAAAUAAUAAAAUUUAAAAAAAUUAUAAUUUCAUAAAUUAUUUCAAAUAAAAUAAAUAACAAUAAAAAAAUAUGGACAAAAUCUUAUAGAUACAAAAAAAUCCAAUUAAUGAUAAGAGAAAAACAAAUAACAAUGAUAAAAAUAAGGAUCAAAGUUGAUAUAAAAAUCAAAUUAAAUCAAAUUUUAAGAGAUGAAAUUUGAAAAAAAAAAUUCAAAAUAAAAUAUAUACCAAUCAAAAGUUUGAGGAUCAAAUUUGAUAUAAUCAGUAAAUAACAUAAUAUUUCUAAAUUUUCAAAAUAAUAUUUCUAAAAUAAUAUUUCUAAAGGACCAAGUUUGAGGACCAAUUCAAAAUAAUAUUUUUAAAGUUUGAGGAACAAAUAUAUAUAAUCUAUGUGAAUUACUAUAUAUCCAAUUCUUAAACUCACAAAGUUUCUUUUUAAAAAAAAAAAAGCUAAUUAUGAAGCAAACACGGAUAUAUAAAAUCAAAUAUAUGUGGAUUUUAAAUUAUAGUUUACACUAUUAUAUAUAAAUUAUUUAAUUUUCCAGACUUGAGCACAAAAUCCUACCACCAGCUCCCUCCCUGAUUGCCUCGUGUAGAGCAGUUCUACCAUUAGGGCCGCCAUAGUCCACUGAAAUGCAAUUAGUUAGGAUUUCACCGAUCACCAAAGUACCCCUGGAAGCAGCAAUAUAAAGUGGAGUUUCUCCAUGAACAUUGGCGGGAUAUGAAAACUAAGGGUCCUCUUUAGUCAAUAUUUCCACCACAUGGCUCCGCCUAUUUCGAGCUGCCUCGUGCAACGCUGUAUCUCCCUCUUCAUUGGUCAUCCUCAACAUCUUUUUUGCUUCUGUUACUCCGCUCUUCGGAUCUGAAGGUAGAGCUUUUGCGAGGUCAAUGAGGACUCUUACCACGUUGGAAUGACCAUAUCUUGCUGCAAAAUGGAGUGGGAUUUCACCUUUCUUAUUGGCUUGGAAUAACAGUGGUGGACACUUUUCAAGAAUUAUUUCAACAAAAUAAGUGGAUUCCGAUUCACUGCUUUGGUUUCCCAAGUAGACAUGAAGAAUGGUGUUCUCGUCUGGAGUCGAUAACUGAUCAAGGCAGGUUUGAUAUUUCUCAAUGGGAUCGAUAUUGCCUGCUUCUGCAGCUUUGAACAAGACAGGAUCCAUACUAUUUUGAGUUUGGCUCUGCGGCUGGCGUUUUAUUGAAAACGCAGCGCGCAGCCAUUUGGUUAAAGAAAAAAGCAUUUUACUGUUUACUAGGCUCCACUUAAAUUCUGCGUUUCCAACGCAGGGAACGGAAAGCAGCUAUUUCAUGCUUUUUUGUUACUGUUCAUGUUAAUUGCACUGUUAAUGAACAGUGGAACUAACAUGAACAUUAUAUAGUGUACUGUUCAUGGAACAGUGCAGGAGAGCUGCACUGUACACUUAACCCCAGUGAACAGUGCAAUUCUCUUGCACUGUUCACUUGCCUGCGUGCCUUUUUUUUUUCUUCUUUUUAACAUUUUAAAAAAAAUAAAUUAGUUUAUAGUGAAAUUUAUACCUGAUAAUAUUUUAAAAGCAUUUUGAAGUUUUAACCAAACACAUUAAACUAUUUUUUCUUUAACUUCAAUUUCAACCAUAGUUUUAACCAAACACCUAUUUUUUCAAACCAAACUCAACUAAAAGUACUUUUAAUAAAACAACUUUUUUUAAAUCACAACCACAACAACUAUCACAAUACCAAACACACUCUUUGUAGCAUAGAGAAACUCACUAAAUGAAAUUUAAGCUAAUGAAGGGAGGAAAAACCACUAUGGCACAAAGGUUAGAGGUUCCACUCCUCAACUGAUCACAAGCUGCUGAUUUCUGUUUGUUGCAUCCCUGGAUAAAGGAGUAUUUAAAUAGCGUGUUAGAUGUUGUUUUUUAAUGUUUUUUAUUUGAAAAUAUAUUAAAUAAUAUAUAUUUUUUAAAAAAAAUUAGUUUUCAUAUCAUGACAAUAAAAUUAUUUAAAAAACUUAAUUUAAAAUAAAAAAACGUUUUUACCCUUUGAGCAGAAACACAGAUUAUAGUGUUUGGUUUGAAAAAAAAAAAAACCUUAAUUUUUAAUAGUGGGUACACCAAAAGCAUCUUUUACAAUUUUUUUUUUCCCCUGUGAUUCACUUGACUGAUUGAGCUGUAUCCUUCUCGCUUUUUAUUGUUGAUAACUUAAACAGACGAAAAUGACCUCCUUCUUCCUUCUCCUCAAUUGAGAGACAAAUCAAGCUAUCAUCAAGAAAACUAGAAUAUCGAUCAUUCUUGAAGGGAUCGAUAUUGCCUUCUUCCGCAGCUUUGAUAUAUCAAAUUAAAAUUAUCUAAAAAUACAAAACAAAUUAAUUUAUAUCCAAAAAAAAUUCAAUUUUUUUUCACAUUUUGAGAAAAAACACAGAUUAUACCACAAUUGUCUAUUUGUUCUAUUUGGCUUUUUUUUUUUUUAAUUGGAACCAUAUAUUUUAAUUUUGAAGUGUUUUAAAAUGUCAUUUCGGGGGUUGUACAACUACAAAUUACUAUCAAGUUGGUGGCUGCAUUAACUAGCUACUAGACAAAUGGUAGGAGAUUUAGUGUUUACUAGUUGGAUGUCUACUGGCGGACUCACUUUUUAUUUUUAUAAAAAAUAAAAAAUUUAUAAUAUAAAAAAUAAUAUUUUUUAAUAUUUUUAAAAAUAUAUUAAUUAUUUUAUUAAUAAUAUUAAUUAUAAUAAAAAUAAUAUUUUUUUAUAACACAAAUAAUAAUAUUUUUAAUAUUCAUACUAUUAAUCAUAAUAAAAAUAAUUAUAUUUAUAACAUAAAUAAUUAUAUUAAGAAUUUCAAGGAUGAUUAUAACACAAAUAAUAAUAUUUUUUACAUCAAUAUUUUGAGUUAUAAUAAAAAAAUAAUAUUUUUAACACAAAUAAUAACAUUAAAAAAACUAACGUGGGGUUGGAUGUGGACGUGGUGACAUCCAGCUUAACAUGAGGUUGGGCAUUGACGCAUUCAGAGUCAACAUGGGGUGGGUCGGGGACGCGUCCUAAUCCAACUUGUGGUCGGGCACGAAUAUUUCUAGGCCCAACCUGGAGUUGGUAAGAUUGUGUCCCCGCACGAGGGCGUGUGCCUUGCUCAUGCCAGGACAAGGUCAAAGGCAAGCCAGCCCCAACACCACGUGGCGUGUGGCCUGCCCUAACACAUGGACAGGUCAACCCAAACGCCUGGUGUCCUCACUUGGGGGCGUGGGUCUGGCUGACAUCUUGAGCAGCCUCACCAAAACUUCAAAUGACAAUUUUCUCCUUAACUAACACUUCAAUGUCAAAUACAUCUCAUAAAAAAUAUAUCCCCACCCCUCACUCGCUGCCCUUGCAACUCUUUAUGGCAAGGUUGAGCUGUUAUUAUAGUACUCCAAUCCAUAGUGCUCUAAGUCUAGGUAAACAGUAAGAGGAGCACUGAACCCUUUUAGUAUAUAGUGUAAUUUGAUAUUAUAAUUAAUUGUAUUUUUUAAAAAAUAUUUUUUGUUUGAAAAUAUAUUAAGAUAAUAGUUUUUAGAUUUUUUUAUUUUUAAAAUCAAUACAUUAAAAUUAUUAAUGAAACAUACUAAUAAAAACAUAAAUUUGAUUUGUUUUAAAAAAACUCUUUUAAAAAUAACAGUGGUGGACACCUUUCAAGAAUUUUAUCAACAAAAUCAAUGAAUUCCGGUUCACUGCUUUGGUUUUUCAAGUAAACAUGAAGAAUGGUGUUCUCGUCUGGUGUCAAUAACUGAUCAAGGCAGGUUUGACAAUUCUCGAAGGUUCCACCCCUCAACUGAUCACAAGCUGCUGAUUUAUGUGGUUUGUUGCCUCCCUGGAUGAAGGGGUAUUUGAGAGAGUGUCAAAUAUUGUUUUUUUUUUUUUAAUAUUUUUAAUUUUAAAAAAAUAUUUUUUAUUUUAAAAAAAUAUUAUUUUUAAUAUCAUCACAAUAAAAUUAUUUAAAAAUAUCUAAAUUUUUUCUUUAUGUUUAUGUUUUGAGCACAAACACGGAUUACAGUGUCUGGAUAAAACAAAAAACUUAGUUUUUAUAAGUGGUCUUUUACGAAGCUUUUUUAUUUCCUGUGGUUCACGUGACUGACUGUGCUGUAUCGUUCUUGCUUUUAACAGUUAAUAACAUAAACAGAAGAAAAUGAGCUCCUUCUCCGUUCUCCACAAUUGAGAGACGAAAAAAAUUAUAGCAUUCUUAGUGCGCCCAAUAAAACCUUCAGCAUCCAUAAAAUCAGAUCUUAAUUGCAUGACUCUGAGCAGUGGCGGAGCCAGGAUUUUUUAAAUGAGGGGGCAAAUUACUAACAAAUAUUUGAUAUUAUAUAUUAUAUAUUAUACAUACAUGUGUUAUAUAUAGAAAUUAAUUUGAAAUAUAUAUACCAACUCAAGUUAAGCAAAAUUAAUUUAAGAAUACUUUUAAAAUAAAAAAACUUACAUUAUAAUUGUUCUUUUCGAGAUUUAAUAUUUUAAAACUGUUUCAUAAUGAUUUUAUUUUUAAUCUCAUUAAAAAUAUCUUUCUCAAUAUAUAUAACAAAUUUUAUUUAUUUAUUUCUAAAUUUUUCAAGGAUUGAGAAAGUUUUUGGCAGUAAUUUUAUGCUGACAUAUAGUACAUAAUAUCUAAAAUCAUAGCUUAAAAGGAUUGUCAUAAAUUAAUGUUGUUCUUGCUAGCUUGUUGUUUUGUACAAGUGAAUUAAACAUACAUAUUAAAUAUAUAUUUUUUAAUUUAUUUAUUAUGUCCUUAAUUUUUUUAGUUCCUGUAUUUCAUUUUUAAUCAUUAAUAAAUUUAUUAUUAUCAUUUUUCAUAUGAAAUUCAUAAUAAAUACUACCAGUUCAUCAAAACUCAUUUCAUUUCAUAUCUAUUAGCAUAUAAUAUUAUCCAUACACAUAUUAAUUCAACAAACCCAUAAAUUAUUAUAAACCCUAACAUUUUCAAAUAAAACUAAAAUUAUAUAAUAAAAUAAAUAAAAAAGUAAUUUGGAUAUUGAUUUAUCUACUAUUAAUUUAUAUAAAUCAUUUAAAAAAAGUAACAAUUUUAUACCAUGAAAUAAUUAAAGUGGAAUCAAUAGUAGCAUUGAUGAAUCGGACUAUCAAAGAGAGGACCAAAGACAUUCAUCUUUGUGCUUUUUCCUCGCCAUCAAAUGCUUCUCUUGCUGUGGAGGGUUUCUAAUUAAUUGGGAGGGGGAGGGGGCAAUUGCCCCCUCUUGCCCCUACGUGGCUCCGCCACUGACUCUGAGCCAGAGGAUACAAAUUCAAAGCCAAAGGUGAUACAAGAAACGCAAUCAAAUUUUCCCCAACGCCAAGAGAAAGGAAAUUAAGUGGUCCAGCUCUAACCAUAAGAAAAACGAGUGAAGACAAAAAAGAUGCAAUUAAGUAGGGAAGAGAAAUUGACGUCGAGGAAGACAAGCUAGGACAAUCAUUAUGAGUGUCUUUAUGUUCAAGAGCAGCUGCAACACACGAAGAAGGCCAAGCUACUUCAAAAAUUGAACUUUCCACGAAGGUUGUCAGUCAAAUUUAAAUUUUAGACUUUGGAUCCUAGGCAAGGAUUAAAGGAACGGUUGGUAUGCAUCACUGUCAUAGGGUUAACAUUAAUCGUUUCUUAGUUAUUUGGAGAUUUUUAUUUAUUUGAUGCUCAUAAUAGUUCCUUUUUAAUUGUUGAUAUUAUAAUUGUUUUUUUAAUUAAAACUCUCGGAAUUUGUUUAACAUUUGAAGAUAGGUUAUUAUAAAACUAAUUAUCAUAUCACACUUAAUAAGUCACUUUAAUAUUAUGCAUCUAGUAGUCACAAUUUUUUCUUUAAUUUAUAUCUAUCAUAAAUUUUUAUUGCCAAUUUUAAGAAAUUCAAUAUAGGUUAAAAUUUUCUAGCAGGCAUCUCGAGUUUCUCAAGUUGGCUUACUUGGCGCAGGCGAGGCAAGGCAUCCUUGGAUCCGAGUUUGAGGCCUAUCGCCCCCUCCUGUAAACAAAUUGUUGGCAACUUCCCUGAGACGCAAAUAUUGGUUGAUUGCUCCACUUGUGAAUCUCGGUUGCAAAUGAACCCCUUUUUUUUUCAAUGGUGAGUUGAUUUGCCAAGUUACUGAGUUGAUUUGCAAACCCGUCCAGCUACUGAGUUGAUUUGCCAAGUUUAAUAACUAUACUAUAAACAGCUUCUGCACGUUCAAUGAGGAGUUUUACCACAUUGGAAUGGCCAUAUCUUGCUGCCAAAUGGAGGGGGGUUUCUCCUUUUUUAUUGGCUUGGAAUAACAGUGGUGGACACCUUUCAAGAAUUUUAUAAACAAAAUCAGUGGAUUCCGGUUCCGUCGUUUGGUUUCUUAAGUAGACAAGAAGAAUGGUGUUCUCGUCUGGAGUCAAUAACUGAUCAAGGCAAGUUUGACAAUUCUCAAAGGGAUCGAUAUUGCCUUCUUCCGCAGCUUUGUACAAGACAUGAUCCAUAUAGAUGAUGCUAUUCAUUUUCUCAGAAGAAUCCAUAAAAUCAAAUUCACUCAUAACCAAAAAAAAUCAAAAACUUUUGUACGUUUUGAGCAGAAACACAGAUUAUACCACGAUUGUCUAUAUUUUAUUAUAGUUGGAGUUUUAUUUUUUCAAUUGGAACCAGAUAUUUUAAUUUUGAAGCAUUUUAAAAUAUCAGGUUGUACUACUACAAGUUACUAUCAAGUAGGUGGCUGCAUUAACUAGCUAUAGUAGAUAAAAUUGCAUGAGAAUUAAGUUUAUUAUAAUUUUAAAAAAUAUUUUUUAUUUAAAAAUAUAUUAAGAUAUUAUUUUUUAUAACUUGUUUUUUAAAUCAAUACAUCCAAACUAUUAAAAAAUAAUAAUAAAAACGUAAAUUUAAUUUGUUUUUAAAAAAUAUAUAAAAACAAAAGCAAUCUCUUUGUUAUGGUUAGAAUUAUCAAGGACAAUGUAGUUAAUUUUAAAGAUCUGUUUAAAAGUAUGAUAAAUAUUAUUUUUUAAAGUAUUUUUUAUUUAAAAAUAUAUUAAAAUAAUAUUGUUUUAUUAAUUUUUAAAAUUUAAUUUUAUAUCAUUUAAAAACAUAAAAUAUAAUUUAAUUUCAAACUAAAAAAAUUAAAAAUUUUAGAAAAAUAUUUCACACAUCUAAGACUUGAAGAUAAGGAGACUGUGGUCCAGCUCUAACCAUAAGAAAAACGAGUGAAGACAGAAAAGAUACAAGUGGGGCAGAGAAAUUGACGUUGAGGAAGACAAGCUAGGACAAUCAUUAUGAGUAUGUUUAUGUUCAAGAGACAAGAAGGUCAAGCUACUUUAAAAAUUGAACUUUCCACGAAGGUUGUCAGUCAAAUUUAAAUUUUAGACUUGGGUCCAAGGCAAGAAUUAAAGGAACGGUUGGUAUGCAUCACUGUCAUGAUAAAUAGGGUUUACAUUAUUAGUUUCUUAGUUAUUUGGAGAUUUUUAUUUAUUUGAUGCACAUAAUAGUUUCUUUUUAAUUGUUGAUAUUAUAAUUAUUUUUUUAAUUAAAACUCUUGAAAUUUGUUUAACAUUUGAACAUAGGUUAUCAUAUCACACAUGAUAUGUCACUUUAAUAUUAUGCAUCUAGUUGUCACAUUUUUUUCUCUAAUUUAUAUCUAUCAUAAAUUUUUAUUGCCAAUUUUAAGAAUUUCAAUACAGGUUAAAAUUUUCUACCAGGCAUCUCGAAUUUUCCCCGUCGGCUUACUUGGCGCAGGCUAGGCAUCCUUGGAUCCGAGUUUGAGGCCUAUCGCCCCCUCCCGUAAGCAAAUUGUUGGCAACUUCCCUGAGACUCUUUUAACCAUGUGACGUGAAACUUGUAAGAGUAAUUUGUAUAUUGAUGGAGUGUAGGUACUGAUGAGAAAAAUGCUCAGUAAUUACUGCAUUUCUUGUUCCGCAUACUGGAAAUGUUGAUGAAAUUGUUGUUUUGUUCAUUAUAAUUGUAAUAUCAUGAAAUUGCAGUGCUGUCUGGGGAUCAUGUUAUAUUAUAUGGUAUCUUUUCAGCAUGUCACUCAAAACCAAUUGGACUACCCUAAAAAUUAUAUUAUAUACAUAUGAUUUAAUGAACCCAAUUGUUAAUAAACGUUUCUUGACAGUAAUAACAUGAAUUCAGGUUGUAUAUACGAAACUUGAAUAAAAGAAAAAAGUUCAAUAUUGGAGAGGAUCUUGCCAAUUUUCCAACUUAACACCCAGUCCUUGGACUCAGAUGAGAUCACGUAAUGAUCUUAUACACUGAUGGCAAGCCCGAUAAAGAUUCUAGAAUUGCAUAUGUGACUGUGAUGAAUGCACUUUACCACAACCAAAAAACAAACAAAUAAAUAAAAUUAUAGCAUUCUUAAUUAGUACGCCCAAUAAAACCUUCAGCAUCCAUAAAAUCAUAUCUUAAUCGCAUAACUCUGAGCCAGAGGAUACAAAUUCAAAGCCAAAGGUGAUACAAGAAACACAAUCAAAUUUGCCCCAACGCCAAGAUAAAGGAAAUUUCAAUCACCCCUUCUUGCUAGUCUACACUGUCAUCACCUCGUACCAAUUUUGUUUUAGUUGGCGUUUAAUUUUUAGUUGGUAUUUUAAUUUUGAAGUGUUUUCGAAUUUCGAGGUUGUAGUAUUUUAAAGUUACUAUCAGGUAAGUGGCUGCAUUAAUUAGCUACUAGACAAAAUUGCAUGAGAUUUGGAGAGUGUUUCGGAGUGCUUUUCAAAAGCAUUUAUAAAAAAAUUUGAAAAUUUUUUAUUUUUUAUUUUGAAUUAAUAUGUUUUUGAUGUUUUCAAAUCAUUUUGAUAUGCUGAUCUCAAAAAUAAUUUUUAAAAAAUAAAAUAAUAUUAUUGACAUGCUUUUUUGAGUGAAAAACACUUUGAAAAGCAACAACAACCACACUCUCAAACACGUUUUUGAUGAAUAUUUGAACUAUUUUUUAAAUGUUUUUUUAUAUAUUAAAAUAAUAUUUUUUGAAAUUUUUUAUUUUAAAAUUAAUAUAUCAAAACCAUUAAAAAACACUGAAAUACAUAUAAAUUUAAUUUUUUUAAAAAAAAAAACUUUUAAAAAAUAUAUACAACCAAAAGGAAUCUCUUUUCUAUUGUUAGAGAAUAUAAUUUAGGGUGCUUGUUUGUUCGGAAUUCCAAACUUUCAUGUGUUUUUUUGCUAUUAAAAAAGUUGGUCAACGAAAAACACUUUUCAGUAAAAAACAGUUGGCUUGAUUUUCAAGAAAAUAUUUUCCUUUUAUUUUGGACGAAAAACACUUUCCAAAAGUUGUGAAAAAUUUUAAAAUAUCAUAUUAUUUGCUGAUUAUAUAAAAUUUGGUCCUCAAACUUUUGAUUGAUAUAUAUUUUGUAUGAAUCUUUUUUUUUUCAAUUUUAUCCCUAAAAAUUUGAUUUAAUUUGAUUUUUAUAUUAACUUUGAUCAUCAUUUUUAUGAUUGUUAUUUGUUUUUCUCUUAUUAUUUUUUUAAUUGAAAUUUUUCAUCUAUUAAAUUUGGUCCUUAUUGUCUUUAUUGUUACUUAUUUUAUUUGAAAUUAUUUAUGAAAAUAAAAUUAUUAUUAUUUUAAUUUCAUCAUCUUUUAAAUUUUUUAUUUGUUAAAUUUGAUCUCUAUUAUUUUGAUUAUUAUUUAUUUUAUUUGAGAUAAUUUAUGAAAUUAGAUUUUUUUUUAAUUUUAUUUUUAUUCAACUUUUUAAUUUAUAAGAUUUAUUCCUCAUUAUUUUAAUAAACUUGAAAAAAAAAACAUUAAUAAGUUAUUAUUCAGUUCAUUUUUCAUAACAUAACCAAACACUGAAAAAAAAUAUUUUUCUAUUUAUUUUUCAUUACACUACCAAAUUUCAUUAAAUAAUUUAUUUUUCAACAAUUUAAUAUUUUUUUUAAAAAACCACUUUAUAAAAGAAAAUUCAGCGCUUUAAUUUCAAACUAAAAAAAAUAAAAAUUUUAAAAAACAUGUUUAACGCAUCUGACUUUUAGAUAAGGAGAUUGUGGUCCAGCUCUAACCAUAAGAAAAACGAGUGGACAGAAAUGAUGCAAGUGUAGCAGAGAAAUUGACGUCGAGGAAGAAAAGCUAGGACAAUCAUACUGAGUAUGUUCAUGUUCAAGAACUUCUGCAAUACACGAAGGUUGCCAGCCAAAUUUAAAUUUUAGCCUUGGAUCCAAUGCAAGAACUAAAGGAACGGUUGGUAUGCAUCGUUGUCAUAAAUAAUGAGUACCACUUUUUGGUGCAGCUUUUUCUGCCACUUUGAAUUUAAGAAUAUAGUUGGCUGAAUUGCCUCUGAAUUUAUUGUAAUAGAUCAUCAACUUUAUCUUGUCUCGUAGCCUUUGUCACAUGUUCACACGGUGGAAAGUAUGAAUGCACUUGGACAAAAAUAACAGCAAAGACAAAGAACACAAGUCUAUUAUUUCCUAAGCAUGUAAUUUAACUUCUUAAGAAAUCAUCUCUAGUCAAGAAGUUACAUUUGUUUUUACUACUCUUAUUUAAUAAAAAUAUUAAACAACUAUUUCAACUUAAAAAUUUAAAUUUAUUUUUAUACUUUGUUUUACAUUUUUUGAACAUAUAAAAAUUUAAAUUGUUUGUGAAACUUCUAGAAUCAUUUUUAUUCUAUUCUCUCACAGAACUCAGACAGCUUCCUCUUCUUUAUUUAUUUUUCCAUAUUGAUGAAUUAGUAUAAAUAGGCUUACAAGCCUAGCUAGUAAAUGGAACUAGCCAAAAUAGUUACUUCUAUCAACAACCAUUUUCAAUAAACAACAGUCAUACAAGAUGAAUUCCUCUGAUCAACAAAUGAAUAGCAUCACUUACAUGGAACCAAAAUUGUACAAAGCUGCAGCAAAAGGCAACAUCAACCCAUUUAAUGAUCGUCUUACAACUUCUCUCAAUGAGCUAUUGACUCCAAAAAAGAACACAAUUCUUCAUGUGUACUUAGAAAACCAACGUAGAGGAUCGAAAUCCACUGAUUUUGUUGGCCAAAUUAUUGAUAUGUGUCCACAACUGCUAUUGCAAGCCAAUACUAAAGGCGAAACUCCACUACAUUUUGCGGCAAGAUAUGGGCAUUCCAAUGCAGUGAAAGUCCUGAUUGACCGCGCAAAAAAGCUAGCUAUAGAUCCUGAGAACGGGCCAGCAGAAGAAAAGAAUAUGUUGAGGAUGACGAAUGAAGAGCAAGAUACAGCGUUGCAUGUGGCAGCUCGACAUAUCCAAGCCCAAGUGGUGGAAAUAUUGACAAAAGAGGACCCUGAGUUUUCAUAUUCCGCCAAUGUUCAUGGAGAAACUCCACUUUAUAUUGCUGCCAAUAUGAGGUUUGUGAACUUUUUUUUUUGUCUCAAACAGAGUUUGAUACCGAUUCGAUACUAUAAGUGACCAACAUCUUUUUUUUUCUUUUAAUAUUUACUAGAUUAAUCAAUUUUUUACUAAUCUAUUUAUCAAUCUAGAAUACUAUCAUUUUAAGAUUAUAUAAAUGUAAUUGUUAAUUAAUUUUAAUUUGUACAGCUUUAUAAUGUUAAAGUAAAUCUGUUUUUUAAAUUAUCAUAAAAGAUAUUAGGAUUUUACCUGCUUAUUUUUUUUUAUGCUAUAUAUGUUAUUGAACUCGAGACAUAUUAAUUCAAUAAAAAACAGCAAAAUUUAAUGGUUUUUAAUUCUCUUUUAUAAAGCAAACUUCCCAGAAAGGCAAGAGAGUUUUGAAGGGGAAAAAAAAAUAAAAAGGAAAAGAAUUUUGAUAAUAUUAAUUAGCAUUUUUUUUUAUCUCUUAUAAAAGAGAAUAUUGAUACUUUAACACUCGUGUACAUCAAAAAAAUCUUGCUACAUCAGUAUUUAUUGGACUUAAAAUGUUAAUAAAAAUCACAUAUAUCUAAUUAUGAUUAUAUUGCUGCCAAUGUAAGGUUUAAUAGGAAGUUAAAAAGACAUGAAGAACAUAGAAAAAAAGUGAUCGAAAUCUUGAGUAGUUGCAAGUCAGUGGAAUAUUGUGGUUCUCAUGGCAGAACCGCACUACACGCGGCAGCCAUGCAUGGUGAUCAUGGUAAGAUUUUUUUCUGAACUGUAAAUCUUUGAAUUCAUAAAUUAUUAUCGGAAACCAUAACUGUGAGAAGUGUGUUCUUAUCUUAAAUUAUUUCUUAUCUGUUUGCCAUUUUAUUGUACUCAUUUAUUUUAUGUUUCUUAAAAAAAAUCUUAUUUUAACCUUUAGGAUAUUGUUGUUUUCAUUUAUUGUUCAUUUGUCAAAUUCUUCGUUUACUCUAUCACAUUUAUUUGAUAUAUAUAGAAGUUAAUAAAGGUGAAAAAAAAAACAAAAAUAUUCAUUUUAUGUUUGUUAAAUUAAAGGUUAGAUUGUAUUUAUUACUUGUAUAAUUCAUUGGAAGAUACAAGGUAAAGAAAAUACAUAUUAAGAAGACAAUGAAUUUCCUAGUCUAUUUAAUUAAGGACUUAUUUGCAUGAUUAUAUAUAAGAUUUUAGGACCAAAAUGUUCUUAUAUACGUUUGAAUGUAAGGAAUGUAUAUGACAAGUAUGUGUGGGAGAAUCAUUUCCCUUACAUAAAUAAAUAAAUAAAUAAAUAACACUAAUGAAUUAUUAGAUUAGUAAGACUAUUGGAUUCUACUUUAAAAUGAUAAUUAAAGGCUCAUAAUAAUAUUGAAUUUUAUUCUUGUUGUUUAUAGUUUUUCUUAAGAACUUUGGUCAUCUAGUUCAAAUGAAGUUGGAGUUGGUGACAUUUCCAUAUUAUUAUUUUAAAUAUGACCAAAUAAUAAGAACCAAUAAAAAUAUGAUGCAUAAACAAUAUUGAAUAGCGACUAUAAGAACCAAAUAACUUAAUUAGAAAGCAAGAAAGGGCAUUUAUAAUACAAUUGAAGAGAGAAAAAUGCCAAAUUAAAUAUUAACUUAUCACUAAAUUAGUAGCGUAGAUAACGCAUUAACUAUAAUAUUAUUCAUAUAUUACUUAAUAUGUACCAUAUUUUUUCUUAUGGUUUAUUGCAGAGACAGCAAUAAAUAUAUUACAAAGCAACGCGAGUUUGACGAGAAGAACCGACGAUGACGGGUGGUCACCACUUCACUACGCUGCCUUUUUCCCUUUUUCAUAUACUGGUUUUGUAACAGUAAUAGAACUACUAAAACAUGAUGUGUCCGCAGCCUACAUUGUUGAUUCAGAGAAGAGAACAGCCCUUCACUUGGCUGCCGUUCGAGGCAAUAUGGCAGUAAUGGAAGAGAUUAUGAAGACUUGUCCAGCUUGUUGUGAACUAGUGGAUAGCAGAGGUCGGAAUGCCCUUCACUAUGCUGCCAUAACUCUAAGAGGAGCACUUACAGCUAUGUCUUUCCCUCGAUCGAUUCCUAAAUUUGAGAAACUUAUAUACGAGAAGGAUAACGAUGGAAACACACCAUUGCAUCUAUUUGCUGCUUUCGGCAGUUUUACCCAGAAGAGUAGUGAUUGGAUACAUGCGUGCAAGAAGAUGUGUGGCCUUAACAAGCAAAAGCUCAGCGUUGAUGACAUCUUGGUAGGAAAUUUUCCUGAAGAAAAGGUAAUUCCCUCGAUUUGACUUUUUAACGAGUCGCACUCGUACACGCGAAAGAGUCUUUGCAUUUGAAAAAGCUUGCUAACUUACCAAGACAAAUUAAAUUUAAUAUGUCAUAGGAAUGAUGUAAGAUUAUUUUCAUAAAUAUCAAAGGAUGCAUCAAGAGAAUUUAUAAUAUUCAUUCAAUCUUGUUAAAAAAAAAAAACUUCAACUCUAACAAUAAACACGCGUGCACCUUUAAUAAAUCACAUCAAUCAAACAUAAAUUCACUUGGAUUGUCUCCCUUUUUUAAAAAAAUAAAAUAAAAAUAGAAUAGAAAUCCUUUUGGCAAUAUAACAAAAUUAUACCUUCAACUUCAACACGUAUUUUUAAUUGACUAACACUAUUUGCUUUGAGCCUGUUUGGCUCUACGGUUCAACCUGUGUUUUCAUAAAUUUUAAAUUUUAUUUUUUUGCUAAAAUUAAAUGCGGUUUGUAUCUUUUGAAUCAUUUUGAUGUGCUGAUAUCAAAAAUAAUUUUUAAAAAAUAAAAAAACAUCAUUGGCAUGCAUUUUGUCCCCUAGACUGAUGUUGGUUUCUUUUAUUUGUUUGUUUUAUGGUGUGUUUGAUAUUUUAAUUGAUUAAAAUAAUUUUUUUAUUUUUAAUAUAAACAUAUUAAAAAUAUUAAAACACGCUAAAAAAAUUAAUUUGAUUUGUUUCCAAACCAGACCCUUUUAAAUCAUACUUAAAAAUAAUUUAAAAUUAAAAAACAAACAGCCCUCGUAGCAACAAAAGCAAUAUAUAUUGUUGGUAGCUAAAAGAAACAAAAUUACUUGAUUUCAAACUCGCUGGUUAUGAUAGCAAACAAAGGUUGAGAGUCUACAGAUGAUAAAGGAAAAGAAAGAUUCGUUUAAUUUCACAGCCGAAACUUGUUGCAGAAAAAGAUUUUGGAAUCAUUGAAAGAUGUACGGAGUGGACCGCUUCAACGGCCCAUACCUAUGAUGAAAGAAG